rnacentral:rRNA from 1 species
AUUGAACGCUGGCGGCAGGCCUAACACAUGCAAGUCGAACGAGUGGCGGACGGGUGAGUAAUGUCUGGGAAACUGCCCGAUGGAGGGGGAUAACUACUGGAAACGGUAGCUAAUACCGCAUACCAUCGGAUGUGCCCAGAUGGGAUUAGCUUGUAGGUGAGGUAACGGCUCACCUAGGCGACGAUCCCUAGCUGGACGGAGAGGAUGACCAGGCAAACUGAAACUGUGACACGGUCCAGACUCCUAUGGGAGGCAGCAGGGGGGAAUAUUGAACAAUGGGCGCAAGACUAAGACAGCCAGGCCGCGUGUAUGAAGAAGGCCUUCGGGUUGUAAAGGACUUGCAGCGGGGAGGCGUUACCCGAAGAAGAAGCACCGGCUAACUCCGUGCCAGCAGCCGCGGUAAUAC